CACGUAGGGGCGAGCGUUGUCCGGAAUCAUUGGGCGUAAAGAGCUCGUAGGCGGCUCAGUAAGUCGGGUGUGAAACCCCCAGGCUCAACCUGGGGACGCCACCCGAUACUGCUGUGGCUAGAGUCCAGUAGGGGAGUGUGGAAUUCCCGGUGUAGCGGUGAAAUGCGCAGAUAUCGGGAGGAACACCGGUGGCGAAGGCGGGUCUCUGGGCCGAUACUGACGCUGAGGAGCGAAAGCGUGGGGAGCGAACAGG
rnacentral:rRNA from 1 species